rnacentral:tRNA from 1 species
GGGGCUGUAGCUCAGUGGUAGAGCCCUUGCCUCGUAGGUAUGAGGCCCUGGGUUCGAUUCUCAGCAUCACA